rnacentral:rRNA from 1 species
AGUAAAAGUCGUAACAAGGUCUCCGUAGGUGAACCUGCGGAGGGAUCAUUACAAGUGACCCCGGUUUACCACCGGGAUGUUCAUAACCCUUUGUUGUCCGACUCUGUUGCCUCCGGGGCGACCCUGCCUUCGGGCGGGGGCUCCGGGUGGACACUUCAAACUCUUGCGUAACUUUGCAGUCUGAGUAAACUUAAUUAAUAAAUUAAAACUUUUAACAACGGAUCUCUUGGUUCUGGCAUCGAUGAAGAACGCAGCGAAAUGCGAUAAGUAAUGUGAAUUGCAGAAUUCAGUGAAUCAUCGAAUCUUUGAACGCACAUUGCGCCCCCUGGUAUUCCGGGGGGCAUGCCUGUUCGAGCGUCAUUUCACCACUCAAGCCUCGCUUGGUAUUGGGCAACGCGGUCCGCCGCGUGCCUCAAAUCGACCGGCUGGGUCUUCUGUCCCCUAAGCGUUGUGGAAACUAUUCGCUAAAGGGUGUUCGGGAGGCUACGCCGUAAAACAACCCCAUUUCUAAGGUUGACCUCGGAUCAGGUAGGGAUACCCGCUGAACUUAAGCAUAUCAAUAAGCGGAGGA